rnacentral:tRNA from 1 species
GGGCCGAUGGCAGAACAGCAAUACGGAGGCCCUUGCACGGUCUCAAAUCCUGGGUGCGAGUCCCAGGUCGGUCCCCCA